GACGAACGCUGGCGGCGUGCUUAACACAUGCAAGUCGAGCGAUGAAGUUUCUUCGGAAAUGGAUUAGCGGCGAACGGGUGAGGAACACGUGAAGAAUCUGCCCUCCACUUUGGGAUAACACAGGGAAACCUGUGCUAAUACCGAAUAUUGAAACAUAAGUGGCAUCUCUGAGUUUUGAAAGAAUUUCGGUGGAGGAUGACGUCGCGGCCUAUCAGCUAGUUGGUGAGGUAAUGGCUCACCAAGGCAACGACGGGUAGCCGGCCUGAGAGGGCGACCGGCCACACUGGGACUGAGACACGGCCCAGACUCCUACGGGAGGCAGCAGUGGGGAAUAUUGGGCAAUGGAGGAAACUCUGACCCAGCGACGCCGCGUGCGGGAUGAAGGCCUUCGGGUUGUAAACCGCUUUCAGUAGGGAAGAAGCGAAAGUGACGGUACCUACAAAAGAAGCACCGGCUAACUAUGUGCCAGCCGCCGCCGUAA
rnacentral:rRNA from 1 species